UUGAACGCUGGCGGCAUGCUUUACACCUGCAAGUCGAACGGUAACAGGCCGCAAGGUGCUGACGAGUGGCGAACGGGUGAGUAAUGCAUCGGAACGUGCCCAGUCGUGGGGGAUAACUACUCGAAAGAGUAGCUAAUACCGCAUACGAUCUAUGGAUGAAAGCGGGGGACCGUAAGGCCUCGCGCGAUUGGAGCGGCCGAUGUCAGAUUAGGUAGUUGGUGGGGUAAAGGCUCACCAAGCCAACGAUCUGUAGCUGGUCUGAGAGGACGACCAGCCACACUGGGACUGAGACACGGCCCAGACUCCUACGGGAGGCAGCAGUGGGGAAUUUUGGACAAUGGGCGCAAGCCUGAUCCAGCAAUGCCGCGUGCAGGAAGAAGGCCUUCGGGUUGUAAACUGCUUUUGUACGGAACGAAACGGCUCUGGUUAAUACCCGGGGCUAAUGACGGUACCGUAAGAAUAAGCACCGGCUAACUACGUG
rnacentral:rRNA from 1 species